rnacentral:rRNA from 1 species
UACUAAAACAAUGGGAUAUUUCAUUUUUAGUUCUUUUUGAUUAAAACAUUAUUAAAUUUAGUAAAGGCGAUUAAAAAUUAUUAUAUAAUCCUUAAAUGUUAAGUACUGUAAAGGAAUAGUUUUAAUUAAAAAAAAGAAAAAAUUAAAUUUU